rnacentral:rRNA from 1 species
UACGUAGGGUGCAAGCGUUUAAUCGGAAUUACUGGGCGUAAAGCGUGCGCAGGCGGUUUUGUAAGUCUGUCGUGAAAUCCUCGGGCUCAACCUGAGAAUUGCGAUGGAGACUGCAAGGCUAGAAUCUGGCAGAGGGGGGUAGAAUUCCACGUGUAGCAGUGAAAUGCGUAGAGAUGUGGAGGAACACCGAUGGCGAAGGCAGCCCCCUGGGUCAAGAUUGGACGCUCAUGCAC